rnacentral:lncRNA from 1 species
UCAAAUUGAAAAAAGAAAAAAACAUUCACAAAUUAAAUAUUGCAUUGCAAAUAUAAGUUAAAGUAAAAGUUUCAAUAAUGAAGUUCUUCAAAAAUUGCAAAAGAGCCCAAAAAUAAUGAAAAAAAUCGCAUUGCAAAUAUAAGUAAAGUAAAAAUUUCAAUAAAUUGCAUGUAAAAGUUUCAAAUUGCAUGUAAAUAUAACUCAAAAAUUACAAAAAGCC